UCGCCCGGCAGUUAAAGAUGCCGGAGGAGGACACGAAGCCCUUCGUUUCCCGCUUCGCUUGCCAUGGCCCUCACCAACCCUAAUCCCCUUCUCUCCAAACCCUUACCCCCGCCUCUCCUUCGCAUCCCCUCGCGUUGCUUCCUCCGUUGCCGCGCAGCUGCGGACGCCUCCUCGGACUGGUUCCGCCCCCGGGGCGACCCGCCCGAUGGAGGGAGAAUGUCUGCCCGGGACCCCGGGACUCGAAUUAACGCGACGGAGGAGAGCACGGACCAGAGCAGCAGCGGCAAUAAGAAGAAGAAGAAGAAAAGCAAGUGGUGGUGGUGGUCUCGGGACCGGGAGAGCUACUUGGCCAACGACUCCGACGCCCUGCCGUUGCCGAUGACCUACCCUGACUCUUCCCCGGUGUCACCGCAGGAGAUCGACCGCAGGCUCCAGUGUGAUCCCAGUAUCGAGGAUUGUAAGCCAGUGGUGUACGAGUGGACGGGGAAGUGUAGGAGUUGCCAGGGGACGGGGUUGGUGAGCUACUACAACAAAAGGGGGCGGGAGACGAUCUGCAAGUGCGUUCCCUGCCUUGGAAUAGUUUGGCAGGGAAUUAUAUAUAGAUUUGUGCAUCCAAAUUCUGGUGAUGGCAUACACACCGCUGAUACUUCUGCUUCUGUUCCAUCUCCUGAUGUGAUAAGCGGAUGUCAGGACUCCACAUUCUUUAUUUUCAAUCUGACUAUCCAAGUUCAUUAGUUUGAAGCUGGUAAAGUGGUUAUCAGAUUACAGGCUUGAUGCUAUUUUUUGACCCCAAAUGUUAAGGAGAUGAUGCAGGAGUUCAACAAGUAUCAAACAAAAAAAAUCAGAUAGAAGUUGAAACUGAAAGCAAAACCAAGGUUGGGAGUGUGGCAAAUGAUGCAAGCUGCUGACUUAACAAAAAUAGCUUUAACAAGUUCGCAAAGCGGACUGAGAAAGGCUUUAAGGUCCUUGAUAUUGGAGACACUUUUUGGAUGUUCAAUCAAGUUUAUGAUGGCCGAAAUUGUUCAAAGGGACACAAAAAAGAUACCUUUCAAGGAUGCACCCUGAGAUGAGUGCCAGAAUAACACCAAAGGUUUACAGUAAGUUUAGCAUUUUUGCAAAUGUGCCUUGUCCGAUGAACUUUAGUGCAUCAAAAAGUGCUUCCAUAUAAUCAUGUGCAUUUUCUAUUCCUUUCAUAUAUUGUAGUUUUAUCCAGGUCUGAUUUAAAUGAUAUAUUAUAUUUAGUGUAAAAGGAGGCAUAUGUUGGAAAGGAGGGAGUCAUUGCAAGGAUUCAUUGUCUCUUCUAAUACUUGUUCGUUUCUCAUUUACCUUUUUCAUAUAUCUCUCUUUUUUGUUCUGUUUAAGCCAUUAUUAUUUUGCUUGGACCUGCUUCCUGGUUCUUUCUCAUGCCUCAUAUCUUGAGACUUCUUAGACCACUUUUAUAAGACCAACCCUGGAACUAUUAUCUAUAGUUGUUUGUCUCAUUAUGGUGUAUAUGCCGACAUGUAAGUGCAAGAAAUCAGUUGUUGAGAUUCCUUUUUCUUAUGCUACAAUCAUCAUGCAACAUGCAUCUGUACUUAAGAUUAGGGGGAGAAAACCUAAGACAGUUGCUGAAUUAAAUACCUUUGAAUGAAGGCUUACUGCAUCAGAUUUCGCAAAAUGUAGCUUAAGAGUGCAUGAAACCAGGGACACCAGAGGAAUAUAUAGUUUCUAUUACUAGCUAUUCAGACAAGGAGAACAUGUAGGAAUAGGCUUUGGUUGUGUAAAUACCAAUCAUCAAGUGGAUAAGAUCAUGCAUCAACAGCACAUCAUUUGAACAACACAUCACCUGCAGUGCCAUGUCCACCACCUGUGCCUUAAGUACAUAGCAUUGAUAAUUUCAGAAGAUGUCAAGUAAAUCAUUACACAGGUUACAGUUACUGGAUCGAUGAACAUUAUCAAUGGACGGGUACAAAAGCAUUGUUGCAUCGAACCAUAGAUUGAAAAAAAUAGCUCUCUCAAACUUGAAUCAAGAAAUUUGUUAAGAAUUAGGAGUUAGAACUACAGCAUCUACAUACAUUAUUUGAUAUUCUAAAGAAGUGCAUUAAGUCAUAAGGAAGCAACUUAGUAUCUUGUUCCUUCAGUUAAGAGCUUUUGGUACACUUUCAGCUAUCUUAUUUUCUUACUUGUAUUAUGGAUCCCUAAUUUGGUGCCAAUAUGAUUGUCUUCUCCUGGUCAUGAAGACCAUUAUCUUCUUUUAAUGUCAAAUUCUUUGUUCAUGAAUUAUCAGCAGAAGUAUAAAUAGAUUAAAAAUCCAUUGAUAUCUCAUCCUGUUUUUCUCUUCUCUUUUCCUCCUUGCCAACCUCAGCUCAUAGCGUCUUUUCCAAUUUUCGUCGAAGGUGGAGGAUUUGGCUGUUCUUUCCGGAGGGUAAUGGUCUCUUCAAG